UGGGAGGGCAAGUCUGGUGCCAGCAGCCGCGGUAAUUCCAGCUCCAAUAGCGUAUAUUAAAGUUGUUGCAGUUAAAAAGCUCGUAGUUGAAUUUCGGGGUUUAUCCGUUGGUCGGGCUUUUGGGUCUGUACUGGCGUGAUGAAUUCCUACCUUCUGAAUAACCAGCAUGUCAUUAAUUUGGUGCGCCGGGGAAGCAGGACUGUUACCUUGAAAAAAUUGGAGUGCUUAAAGCAGGCUUAUGCCUGAAUACAUUAGCAUGGAAUAAUGAAAUAGGACGGCAUGGUUCUAUUUUGUUGGUUUCUAGGAUCACCGUAAUGAUUAAUAGGGAUAGUUGGGGGCAUUAGUAUUCAAUUGUCGGAGGUGAAAUUCUUGGAUUUAUUGAAGACUAACUUCUGCGAAAGCAUUUGCCAAGGAUGUUUUCAUUAAUCAAGAACGAAAGUUAGGGGAUCGAAGACGAUCAGAUACCGUCGUAGUCUUAACCAUAAACUAUGCCGACUAGGGAUCGGACGAUGUUAAUUUUUUAAUGACUCGUUCGGCGCCUUACGGGAAAC
rnacentral:rRNA from 1 species